rnacentral:rRNA from 1 species
CAGUGGCGAACGGGUGAGUAACACGUGGGCAAUCUGCCCUGCACUCUGGGACAAGCCCUGGAAACGGGGUCUAAUACCGGAUACGACCUUCCUCUGCAUGGGGGUUGGUGGAAAGCUCCGGCGGUGCAGGAUGAGCCCGCGGCCUAUCAGCUUGUUGGUGGGGUAAUGGCCUACCAAGGCGACGACGGGUAGCCGGCCUGAGAGGGCGACCGGCCACACUGGGACUGAGACACGGCCCAGACUCCUACGGGAGGCAGCAGUGGGGAAUAUUGCACAAUGGGCGAAAGCCUGAUGCAGCGACGCCGCGUGAGGGAUGACGGCCUUCGGGUUGUAAACCUCUUUCAGCAGGGAAGAAGCGCAAGUGACGGUACCUGCAGAAGAAGCACCGGCUAACUACGUGCCAGCAGCCGCGGUAAUACGUAGGGUGCGAGCGUUGUCCGGAAUUAUUGGGCGUAAAGAGCUCGUAGGCGGCCUGUCGCGUCGGAUGUGAAAGCCCGGGGCUCAACCCCG